GCAAAAUGUUCCCGUGCGAAACACUCCCAUUUGAGUAGAGCCACGAGUCCCACCAAGCCAGAAACACAAGACGGAGAAAUGGAGAAAAGACAGAUCACUGUCACCCAGCACUAAGCCCUCUCACAGUACUGGGUCCCACGUGUCCUUGUGAAAGGGGAAAAUGGGCUCUGAGGCAGCGAGCGCAGGUACCGGCAGGCAGAACUCCUCGAAGGCCGGCUUCACGAAGGUGGUGUACUGCGUCAGAAUCUGCUCCAGGUCCCUCCCUCGGCGCACGUCCCGGAGAACUGCAGCGGCAAGGGGCAGGCGUGCUUCAGACCUCAGGACCUGCCGCCAGCCUCGGCCAGGCAGGCACGGAGGCCCCCGGCCGCCUUACCUCUUCGAGACAGCCUGACGUCGGAGUCGGUGUCCACGAAGAGGCGCAGGUGGAACAUGUCCCGGAUCUCCUGGCUGUAGAACACCAAGAUGCCCUCAAACAGAACCACGUCCGCAGGGUAGACCACCGUGGUCUCUGGUAACCU